CUGGCUCAGGAUGAACGCUGGCGGCGUGCUUAACACAUGCAAGUCGAACGAUGAUCUUCACUUGUGGGGGGAUUAGUGGCGAACGGGUGAGUAACACGUGAGUAACCUGCCCUUGACUCUGGGAUAAGCCUGGGAAACCGGGUCUAAUACUGGAUACGACCUUCUGGCGCAUGCCAUGUUGGUGGAAAGCUUUGGUGGUUUUGGAUGGACUCGCGGCCUAUCAGCUUGUUGGUGGGGUAAUGGCCUACCAAGGCGACGACGGGUAGCCGGCCUGAGAGGGUGACCGGCCACACUGGGACUGAGACACGGCCCAGACUCCUACGGGAGGCAGCAGUGGGGAAUAUUGCACAAUGGGCGCAAGCCUGAUGCAGCGACGCCGCGUGGGGGAUGAAGGCCUUCGGGUUGUAAACCUCUUUCAGUAGGGAAGAAGCUGGCCUUUUGGG
rnacentral:rRNA from 1 species